UACGGAGGGUGCAAGCGUUGUCCGGAAUCACUGGGCGUAAAGGGCGCGUAGGCGGCUCAUGAAGGCUGUGGUGAAAGUCCGGGGCCUCAACCUCGGAUCGGCCGUGGCGACUCGUGGGCUGGAGCACUGUAGAGGCGGGUGGAAUUCCGGGUGUAGCGGUGGAAUGCGUAGAGAUCCGGAAGAACACCAGUGGCGAAGGCGGCCCGCUGGGCAGUGGCUGACGCUGAGGCGCGACAGCGUGGGGAGCAAACAGG
rnacentral:rRNA from 1 species